UUGACCUCGGAUCAGGUAGGGAUACCCKCUGAUACUUAAGCAUAUCAAUA
rnacentral:rRNA from 1 species